rnacentral:lncRNA from 1 species
GCUAAAUGUGUUGUAUAUUUCAUUAACUUUAAAAUUUACAAAGUUACAAAAGUGAGCAUAGCUCUACUGAUUCAGCAGAAUCUGAAAUACACCAUAUUUUCUUGCUCGAUUCUUUUAAUCCAAGCCGGAAUACCCUCCAACAAUGCAAUCUCAUUGUUAUUCAUUGUAGCACCUUGCUUUGCAGCUUGAUCAGCACCAAAAUUACAUUCCC